AAGGUCUGCUGCUGCCCACGAGCGACGUCCGUCGCCUCCCACGAGCCGUUGCCUCCCACGAGCGAGGUCCGCUGCCUCCGAUGAGCGAGGUCCGUCUCCUCGCGUCAACGCCGACCCCUAGCCUUCGACGAGCGACGCCCUAGACGCCGACGCCGAUGCCGACGACACCUCCGACGAAGCCCGACGCCGACGCCCUAGCCUCAGACGCCAACCCACAAGAGUUCAAUUUCCAAACUCAUUGAGGUUUCAUGAGUUCACGCCUUCUGAAUGUACGCUGAAUAGUGGGCAGGCCGUGCAUUUUCUUUCUAAGCGCAUCGUGCCUCUAAACCAAGCCCGCGGGAUUUUCCAUUGGAGGAGGGCAUCCCUUUAAGUGUGGGCUUAAACUCUUAGUGGCACAUCAAUCUGCCUGGAAAAUACUCUGCCUCAAUCUGCAAGAACAGAAUUCUCUAAAAGCAGAGGUUCUGGUAUGGAAUUUGAGUCGGAUUGGACAAAGCACCGAAAGACCUCAGCAUAUGCUGCAUUUGCAAUCUGUUCCGCCACAUCUUUCAUGCCUUGGUCCUAUAAAAUUCCUAUAGCUGAAGGUUACUGUGAAUUUCUCUAAUUAGAAGCCUUCCUAUCGAGUUAGCUCGUCCUUGGGGAGGUCAAUCCAGAGACGGACUGGCUUGCUGCGCCAGAAUAUAACAUCAUUCAGAAGACCAUCCCAAAGGAUAUUGAUGCUUCGUUUCUUGGUUUCUUACACUUUUGGCAGAUUCACGAGUCUGGAUUCAUGUUACUUCAAAUAUUCUGUUAAAUUAGAUACGUCAGGAGUGGUCCAAAAUGAAGCAUCAAUACCUGUCCGGGAAUUCUUCUGUGAACGAUCAAUUUUGUCAUUUUAUCACCUUUAGUGUUUUUAUGCUUCUGUCUUUAAAAAAGCAUAGGAUUUAAUAGUUUGGAUGACUUUUCCUUUGAGCAGGUUGCACAAUUGGAGGACAUAAUAGCAGAAAGAGGAGCUUGUGGAGUUGGGUUUAUUGCCCCGACCUCCGCCGUUGCCUCCGCCCGCCCAAGAGCAGCUGGGUCCCAAGCUCGUUCACAAUCUCCACCACCAGUCAAACUCACUCUCUCCCUCGCUGAAGUUCCUUCUUGAACGCACGAUGAAGCAGCUCGCGCGGAGCGAAUGAUUUGCAGAUCGUUUCGCCUCUGGAAUUCGUGCUCCGAGCUUCGGAUGGUGAAUUGAUGUAUCCGUUUCUUCCAUGGUGGUGGUGCUGAUCUAGGUCCUCUUCCGCUGCUGCAUCGGACCUCGGGAAUGGAGGUCGUGGUUCACUAGGGAAUCGGAGGAGGAGGUCUCUAAGUCAAUGAAGUCGCCACUAUGCAGCUGAUCUAUUGCAGGUAGUCUAUAGCGACGUCUAUAUGCUUGUGGUAUGAAAUGGAUGGUGAUCGGUAAGCUUCCUUACCGCGUCAAAACCGCAAUCGCAAGCUUUUGUGACGGCUGGUUGUACUUUACAUCGGGGUAGCGGGAUCGAGGGCCAAAUAAUCCGCAACCUAAGAUGGUCAUUGGAGACAUGUGGAGGACCAAAUUGAGACUCUGA